rnacentral:piRNA from 1 species
UCCUUAAAAGAUUCACGCCUUUCUGUU